UGGGAACGCAUGAGCUUUCGCAUCAAAGUUUGAGCUUCGUUCGUCGACAUGGAGCAAGCAAGUAGCUCUUUGGUGAGCGCUGAGCCUCGUUCAGAAACUGGUUAUGAAAGCACAAGAGGUCGUAAUCGAAUUUCGUCUCUUCAGUCGCUAGAAUCAUCUUGCAGCGGUGGCAACAGUCUCUCUCGAGCUGCUUUCCUCUGUCCACAACUCUUGAGUUGCCUUCCUUGCUUUGUGGCCAAGUGCUAAAGGGCACAUUGGCACGUUAGCCAUGUGCUUGUACUGACGCAGUGUACGCUAGCUAUCUGGCAGUUCAGGUAUUGUCACUCACCAUAAACAUGAUGAAUGGUUACUCUACGACUCGUACCUCUGGUGACCACUCAGCGACAUGGAUAUUAUGAGUGUGCUCGUCGUCAGGAUUGAUCACUGGAUAGUGAACACGAGUGACUAGUGAAGUGUAGUAUUGCGCGGAGCUCUGCACUGACUGAUACCUGCUUCUCUAUUCACCGGCAGUACUAACCAUUAGGUUAGUACCUCCGACCAGUCAAACUGUGGUGGCUCGGAAACUGAGCAGCUCAUCAUCAGCACAAGCAGAAAUGAUAUGAGUGGUGGUGACUUUACUGCAGGAAACGUUGGACUUGUCACAUUCCUCAGUGUUGGCACGUCUUCAAACGCAAUCAGUUUCUGAAAGCGGCUGUACAUGUUCUGCUGGCCCGUACUCAGUCUACUCGGCACUCUCACAAUGUACAAUGUACAAUCGGUAUUCGUCAACGUUCACCUAUAGCCAAGACCAGGCUAAAACUGCGGUUGUGUCAAAUCUUCAUCCCUGCAAGUUGCUUGCUGGUACUGGUGACCCUUCUUUCUAGCGAUGGACAUCUGAAGUCUAUGGUGGAAGUGUGCACUCACCAGCAAGACAAGAAGAAGCAAGCCGGCAAAGAAAAUUCCUAAUUCAUGCCUUGAAGUAAAUUCUAGAAGUCUAACUUACAUAUCACAUGGUGGUGCCCACACAUUACAUGUGACCCAACCCUCUAUAGAAAGUGGGAUUCACAGACGUGUGUCUUUUUUGCGAUGUGCGAUGCACGGUGUGUCGUCAUCUGUGAAGGCAGCGUGCGAUGCAAACUCGCGAAAUGCCAUUCACAGAAGAAGUCAGCGAUGUGACGUUGCCUUGCUGAUUUGACGCUAAGUUCAAUGCUGGCGAGUACGUCAGCAUGGUAUUCAUGUGGCUGAGUGGUAUUCAUGUGCCUGGGUGUGAGUACUCAGCAUGGUAUUCAUGUGCCUGGGUGCAACUUUUACAAAUCUGCAAGCAACUCUUGAACCUUUGUACAACUUUGCUGCCAAAAAAAGAUCAAAAUCGUACAUCAAAUCGCAUGUCGCGUCCGCGAGAUCGCGGUAUCCUGUGGGGACAGGUGAGCUGCGCGGUGGUUGUGAUUUGGGGAAUUCCAGGUUUCCCGGACGUCACGUCGCGCAUCGCAUCGCUAAAAUGCUUCCAUGAGACCCUCUGUACUUUUUGCUCUUUGGGGAGAUGAGUUGGAGUUGGGUAUCAGACUAUCAGGUUGUCAAAUCUAUAUGUACUCUGUCAGUUUUUCGCCUAGGUGCU